GAAAGCACCACUACCCAUCACUCUAAAAUGGCAUCAAUCCUCUAUUUGGUUUUCUGCAUAAUUUCCAUCCUCUCAGUCUCGGUGGUUGUUGAUUCCCGUCACCACCACCAUAACGCAGCUCGAGCACCUGGUUCAGAAUACAAGAUCUAUGAGCACAAAGCAACACUUCACAGACAACUUCCCAGUUCUGGGACUGCUGCUGUAGGAGCUAACCAGUGUUCAAAGAAUGACAUAGCAAUAGCACAAGGCCAAGUAGGUGUUCAACCAGAUGGCACGCCAACUUUCUCGGUGGAGAUUGCCAAUAUUUGUUCAACUGGGUGUGCUAUUACCAAUAUCCAUCUCAGCUGUGGUGAUUUCAGCUCUGGAAUCUUCAUCAAUCCCAAAAUAUUCAAGAAACUUGCUAGAAAUGAUUGUGUUGUCAACAGUGGAGAACCACUAGCUGCCGGCUCAGCCCUCUCCUUCAGAUAUGCAGCUGCGUCCCAGUUCCCUCUUUCAGUUUCUUCUGUUACUUGUUAGAUGUCUUUAUAUGGUAAACAUCAG
rnacentral:misc_RNA from 1 species